UUGUAUUCAGCAUUUCACUGUGAGGUCUACUACACCUGUUGUAUUCAGCAUUUCACUGUGAGGUCUACUACACCUGUUGUAUUCAGCAUUUCACUGUAAGGUCUACUACACCUGUUGUAUUCGGCAUUUCACUGUGAGGUCUACUACACCUGUUGUAUUCAGCAUUUCACUGUAAGGUCUACUACACCUGUUGUAUUCAGCAUUUCACUGUAAGGUCUACUACACCUGUUGUAUUCAGCAUUUCACUGUAAGGUCUACUACACCUGUUGUAUUCAGCAUUUCACUGUAAGGUCUACUACACCUGUUGUAUUCAGCAUUUCACUGUAAGGUCUACUACACCUGUUGUAUUCAGCAUUUCACUGUGAGGUCUACUACACCUGUUGUAUUCAGCAUUUCACUGUAAGGUCGACUACACCUGUUGUAUUCAGCAUUUCACUGUAAGGUCUACUACACCUGUUGUAUUCAGCAUUUCACUGUGAGGUCUACUACACCUGUUGUAUUCAGCAUUUCACUGUAAGGUCUACUACACCUGUUGUAUUCAGCAUUUCACUGUGAGGUCUACUACACCUGUUGUAUUCAGCAUUUCACUGUGAGGUCUACUACACCUGUUGUAUUCAGCAUUUCACUGUGAGGUCUACUACACCUGUUGUAUUCAGCAUUUUACUGUAAGGUCUACUACACCUGUUGUAUUCAGCAUUUCACUGUGAGGUCUACUACACCUGUUGUAUUCAGCAUUUCACUGUGAGGUCUACUACACCUGUUGUAUUCAGCAUUUCACUGUGAGGUCUACUGCACCUGUUGUAUUCAGCAUUUCACUGUAAGGUCUUCUACACCUGUUGUAUUCAGCAUUUCACUGUAAGGUCUACUACACCUGUUGUAUUCAGCAUUUCACUGUGAGGUCUACUACACCUGUUGUAUUCAGCAUUUCACUGUAAGGUCUACUACACCUGUUGUAUUCAGCAUUUCACUGUGAGGUCUACUACACCUGUUGUAUUCAGCAUUUCACUGUGAGGUCUACUACACCUGUUGUAUUCAGCAUUUCACUGUGAGGUCUACUACACCUGUUGUAUUCAGCAUUUCACUGUGAGGUCUACUACACCUGUUGUAUUCAGCAUUUCACUGUAAGGUCUACUACACCUGUUGUAUUCAGCAUUUCACUGUGAGGUCU